GACGUAGGGGGCCAGCGUUGUUCGGAAUUACUGGGUGUAAAGGGUUCGUAGGCGGUGUGGCAAGUCGGGAGUGAAAUCUCUGGGCUCAACCCAGAGUCUGCUUCCGAAACUGCUGUGCUUGAGUGUGGGAGAGGCGCGUGGAAUUGCAGGUGUAGCGGUGAAAUGCGUAGACAUCUGCAGGAACACCCGUGGCGAAAGCGGCGCGCUGGACCACUACUGACGCUGAGGAACGAAAGCUAGGGGAGCAAACAGG
rnacentral:rRNA from 1 species